ensembl:lncRNA
GUAAACCUCAACAAUAUGAACGUUUGAAGAGAAUACAAAUCAUUAUAACAGGAACUCUGCGACAUACAAAGGAUGAAGUGGUGGAUUCUAUGGUGGCUGAUGUUUUUUCUGUCACGCCAACACUCUGCAUGUCCUUGUCAAAUAUCGGUUGGAAAUUCAGGGGGUCAGGGUUCCUGCAAGAAGCAUUGUAACACAAAUGGGCCAUGAAGAGCCUACAAGAGGUUCUAGAGGAAGAAGAAAUAAAUGGAACUAAUUCAUCAAUGAGUUUUGACAAUGUUGUUGCUCUCCAGUAUAAACCCAAUAAUACCUUCGAAGGCCUCAACAUUUAUGCCAGUAAUAAAAGGGUAUUUAAAAUUAUGGAUUUCAGAAAAUUACUGUGACG